GACGCACCAAGAUAUCCCAAGACAAAAGAAGAAGGGUGGUGGCUAGUCGUUGGAGAAACCAAGACGAACCAGUUGCUUGCCAUCAAGCGAAUCUUUCUGCAACGGAAGGCGAAGGUGAAGCUGGCGUUUGCAGGACCGACUGAACCAGGAGAGAAGUCAUAUACACUCUACUUCAUGAGCGAUUCUUACUUGGGUUGUGACCAGGAAUACACUUUUUCUGUUGAUGUUAAAGAUUCUUGCGCCGCAGAUCACAUGGAGGAAUGAAUGAUUCUUUUUUUUUUCUAGUUAUUUUUAGCGUCUGCGUUCAGCGUUUUCUUGUCAUUAUUUUUUAGUUAGCUACUUUACUUGAUAUUAACUAUUAUUGUACAAACUUGGUUACUAGAUUCUGCAUUUAAACUUGGAUGUGAAAACCAGAAAAAGGAGAGAACUAUUUUAUUGCUGAGAAGUCGUUGAAAGCAGAUGCUUUUUUUUCUCAGGGUUUACAUAGACAAUUUGGUCUAUUCUAAAAAAUGUUCAGACAUGACAUUGUUUCCUUCUUUCAUAUCAUUCUCUCUGCUUUCAUUAGUAGUAUGUACACACUUUGUUGCGUUCUAUACGGGCUUCUUCUCCUUACACUUGCAGUUAGCUCUAUUGUCGUUUAAAAUCUGUGUAACCAAACAGAGAAGUCUUUGUAAGUCUGGUGUAAAUCAAAUCAACUGGUACUUACACUGGUCCUCGGGUUUCUUCACAAUGAUACCUUAUAUUGUCUUUGUAAAUCUUUAAUGUAGUCCACAGCUAAAUCCAACAUAUCCGAAGUGUUCGUUUGCUGUUAAACCACAGAGUUCCAAAAACACUAAACCGAUUCAAUGCAAAAGACAGCGAUUGUUAAAGAUGAAAACCCAUUACAAGAAAUUUUAUAAGGAAUUGUACCUUGUCCAUAUUAGGAACAAGCUCUUGUAAUUUCCUCAUUCGUUCGCUUAUCCGCGUUCUUCUUACCUGACGAGAAGUGACAGAAGAAUUCGUUUCAAUUGACUUUCUAGAUUCAAAACAAGUUUACGUGCCAAAGGAUUUCAUUGAUCGAUAUGUAAAGACGGUUUUGAACUAGUUGAAAUUACCCGUUCAGCGAUGCUUCGAGGAUGUGUGGCGCAACCACGUUUGGCUCUAACUUUACAAGGUACAGAAUCUUGUAGCUGCAUAAACUUAUCCACUGAAGCCAUGUCUGAUGACUUUGGUAGACUCAAGUGAUGCGACAGUAACUGCAUUCGAUUUCCCGACUCUCCGUUCUGUACAAACAACCGAUAACAUCUCUAAGAAACCAGCUAUACUUUCAGCUAUAGUGCUAUGCAAAACUAUUCCCAAGAACCAAAAUAAACCGGUUUGGUAGCACCAAACCAGGUAGAGAAGCGAGUUACCUGAGCUCCGUUAAACAAUUUUGCGUCGUCCUCUGUUUCUCUUUUGAGAGAGGAUAAGUUAUCAAUGAAGCUGGACGGAUCAUUCCAAUGGUUAUAUUGAAAGUUCGUGGCGAUUUCAGGGAUCUGAGAGAGCAUUCCCAGAGAAGAAAGUGGCCUUGAAGAGAGGCUGCAAUGGCGUCUUAAUCCGUUGGAAUUAGAUGGUCUGUCUUCAUCUUCUUCUUCACCACCGUAAUUCAUCAAACUCCUCAUCGAACCAUAACCUGCGAUUGCAAGUGUAGUAGAAACCACUAAAGAGUUAGUUUGUUGGGUCCAAAGUGCCAAACUUUAUGGUUUCUGCGCCUAACCCAGUCGAGGAUUAGGAUUUUCACUUUCCGGGAAAAUAAAAAUUGCUAAAUCUACAGUAAAAUUCAGACAAGAUCUUCUCUUACGGCUCUGGUAUGAUAAAAUUCCAAUUUUUUAAAAAAAAACUACUGUCUAAGGAACAGAAAAUAUUCAAACUUCUUGAAUCAAAGUCUUCGUGUUUCAGACGGAAUGAAAAAAAAAACUAAAAAAAGAGGGAAAAAGAAAUAACUUUUGACGAGAGAACAAAACGGUACCGUUCUGAUCUGAGAGGUUCGUGAACAUCCCGGCCGGCGAGCUGCUUUGCCGGAGAAGAUUGGAUUCAGCUGGUUUAGUGUGAUGAUUAUUCAUACCCAGAAACUGAUCCAAGCCAAUCGUAUUCAUCAUCCCUUUACUCUGUCUCGGGUAAUGCGGCGGCAAACCCAGAAAGCUCGACGGCUCAGUCUGCCGCGGCGGCGGCGGAAGAGUGGCGGCGUAUGAUACAGAGGUGUUCGUCAAAGAAACCGGAGACUUAUCCUCGAAUUCACUCGGAUUCGGCAAGUCCAGAUCGUCGUUUCCACCAUUAGAGCUCGCGAAUCUGGAGAGCAACCUAUCGGAGUCGAACCCACUCUUCUCGUCGUCAACAAAAGCGGCAAGAACGGAGCUUGGAGCUGAUCGAAAACGAAGAAGACCCGACCCGGAAGAAGAUAUGUGAUUCGGGUCGUAGUGAUGAUUGUGAGAAUUAGAAUCCAUGAAUCAAAUCAAAAUGCGACGAAUUUUUUCCCCUGUCUCUCCUACAACAAUAGUGCUCUGUUUCGUAGCGUCAAGAUAUCUCAGUAGCUCUUCAACUCCAACUGUUCGCUAUGGAUUCUCCAGAAUUUAAUCGUGUUAUUGUUGUGACACUUUUCCCGGAAAAAAUCAAACUUGAGCUUGAGAUUUAAGCAGGUGAAGAAGUUGAAAGAGAUAAGAGCUUCAAGAGGAAGCAAAGGAAGUUUCGUGUGAAGAAGAAGAAGAAACAGAUUAUAAGGAAGAAAGAAAACGGUGAACAAAGAAGGGAGAGAGAGAGAGAGAGAGAGAGAGAGAGAGAGAGAGAGAGAGAGAGAGAGAGAGAGAAAAAUGAUGAAUAUUUUAUCGUCUUUUUCCUUUUACCUUCUGAGUUUCUGCUUCCAACUUUAAUUGCUGAAGAUAGCGGCGGAUCGAAAAGCAUACCAAAAAAAUUAAAUGAAAAAUAUAAGAAAAGUAUACAGAGGAAGACGUCGUUUUAAGCCGCCUGUGAGGCUGAGUCACGGAAAUGCCUUUGCAUUCGUUUUUUUUUUUCAUAACAAAAAAUGUAUAUAGUAAAUACUUUUUGGGAUUAUAUAUAACUAUGGAAAUAAAUAUAAACUCUAUAAAUAAUGUAAGUUAGAUACAUACUUUCAAUACUCGAAUACAGCAAGAGCGUAUGAAGUAAAUACCUACCAAACCCGAGUUACAGAUGGACCCGUGACGAAUUAUGUAUGUUCUAAUUUUUACCUUACAUAUAUUCAUUAUAUCAUUUUCUUUAACCAAAAAAAUAGUUUUAUACUAUUAUUGUUUUGUCUUUGUCAUCCACCAAUUUUACAUAUAAUAUACUAUUAAUGCUAUUAGAUUUGAUUUUUGAAAAAGUAUGUGAUGUAUCUAGGCAAAUUUAUAACACACAAACAAAAUAAUUGGCAUGCUCCGGACAAUAUUUAAACCGUUAGUAUCAAACCAUUACAACAAGUUGCGUCAAUCAAACUACUUUAAAAAAACAAAAUAUACUCGUUAUCCAGGAACCAAUAUCAUAGACUUCAUAGUCAACAAUUGUGCUGACAAAUCAGAUUUCUUCACAUUCGAAUAAUUACAUUUAAGAUUGUCUAUCAUUAUUUUGUCCCAUCAGAAUCAUAUAUAUAAUUUUAGAUGAACUCUAUCCAUCUUGCUGACACAUCAGCAUAGAGGACACAUGUCCUUUCAUUCAAUUAAUAAAUUAUAAAUUUUAAAAUAAAAAUUUAAAAACUAAUUAAUACUAUUAAUUCUAACUUAACUUUUCUAUUUAAUAUUUAUUUCAUAUGUAUUUAUGUUCAUAACUAUUAAGUUACAUUAAAAUUAAGGCUUUUUACAUUCUUAACAAAAAUAAAUAAACAAUAUUUCUAAUCUUUAAUAUUUUUUAAAAAAAAAUUAAUAUGUUUUGUACUAACUUAAUACCACUAAUCUUUUUCUUGCAGAAUCAUGACAAUUGUGCUUGUCAUAAAUAUGAGAACAUUAAAAAUUAAAGGUAAUUAUAUGUUUUCAAGCAAUUCAACCCAAAAAAAUAUGGCUUUUAUCUAUGUUUUUUUACUCAUAUCAUGUUUAUGAUUUCUAGAAUAGUAAAAUAAUUUCCAAUCCUUAAAAAAAAGUUAUUUGUUUUACAAAUAUUUUAUUUUUAAAAAAACUAAUACUAAACAAUCAAACAAAUUAUUAUAUUCUUAUAAAUAUAUAUAUAUAUAUAUAUUAACACAAAUAUAUUUUUAAAAAUAUUAUGUGAAACAAAAGCCGCGCGUAUGCGCAGAUACAAGUCUAGUAUAUAAGAAAGUCAGAAGCUAGAUAUUAAUAUGGGUUCAAAAACACACACAAAAAGAAAAAUUCUUUAAAUAGAAAGAAAAUAUUGUCGGAAGUACAGUUUAUAUAUAAAGAGUCAAAACGGCAACUACUUUUUUCUUCAAGAAAAAAAAAAAUUGUAGGUAGCUUUUCGAUUCCGAUUUUAGGGUUCACGGAACCUAUAGCUUCUACAAAAUAGUGACGGAGGCGACGUUGACGCCGUUAAUACAUUACGAACGCAAGUUGGCGUCUGAUAAGGAUUAGUGCCUUAGUGGAGAACUAUAAUGUAUGCGACACACGGUACACCUGCAUAAAGCUUGACAAAAGGAUGUGAUAGAAACUAAAAGUCUAAAAUCUGAUUGGUUAAGGAUAAUACAUAAAUGUCACUCGGUGUAAAAGAUGCACUAGAUUGCGUCUCGUAUAAAUCUCCGUCCGCCGUCGUUAAUUUCGCACCUCGUUUUCUUUUCUUUUUCCUAUUAUCUAUAAAUCUUAUCUUAUUUAGCUUUAAUAAUUCACGAGCGCCGUCUUUCCAAAAUUUAAAUCCAAAAAAAAAAACAACCCGUUUCUCUUCAUAAAUUCAAUUCAGCCCUUUAAUCAAGAUUGAUUAUUCAUCAGUCCUCUUUAAAUUUGUUGGUUAUGUUAUUUCGAAAACACACAAACAAUUUGUAUUCUUACGAGAAUUUUGUUGAAAUAUUUGAUAGGAAAUUUUUAUAAUUAAUUUUACGUAAUUUUGACGAAAAAUAAAUGUGAUGAGAAAUUAAUAGAAAAUUUUUUAAUAUAUUGUUAAAAUUUCAUAAAAUAUUUUCUAUCAAUAACUUAUCACACAGUUAAAAUUUGAAAUGAAAAUGAUAGGAUCAAUGGAUGGUAAAUAUUUCGUAUGAAAUUUCUUACCAACUUUUGAUAAAAAUUAUGUGUAGGAAAAUUAUAGGAAUUUUGUAGGAAAAUUUCAUUUGUUCCACAUCUAUGAUUUGAGAUAAUUUACAUUGACGAUUUUUCUACUUUUUAAAAUUUUCAACGGUAAAGAACCUACAAAAAUAUUUAGUAGGAAAUUAGUAGGAAAAACCGAUUUAUGAAAUAUGUGGUAGGAAUAUAAUGUUGUAUAUGCUCGUAUCAAUCUUAAGUUUUUUUUUUUUUUGUCAAAAUCAAUCUUAAGUUAGCUUUUGCAUUGUACGAUUUGAAAAAAAGAAACCGAACUGUAUAAUGUAUAUGCUCGUAUCAAUCUUAAGUUAGCUUUUUGCAUUGUACGAUUUGAAAAAAAGAAACCAAACUUUAGUAAGAAACUUUGUCAUAUUUGUUUAAUGAACCGCAUCGAGGGAAAUGGGAUUUUAGUCUAUGUGUUUAUCAAUUAUCACGUUGUUUUUGGAUGUGAAAUUAUUUUUUACGGAGUUAUUAGUUACUGUAUUUCAUUCUAUUUUUUAUAUAGGAACUACGGUUUAUGUGCGUAAAGGCUCUCUAUCUAUAGAGACAUAGAUCGGUGAGUUGGAGUAGCUACACAAUUUACAAAUUCCGAGCUGUACUUUAGUUAAUCAACAAGAAGACAAAACUGUAUGCACAAGCACAUGCACCUAUAUCUUACUAUUUAAGAGUAAGUAACAGCAAAUUAAGUUAUAUUAACACGCAGUAGCUUAUGAGAGUUAAUAAUACUCCUAGUCCGGAUAAAUGUCUACAAACUAUCAUCAUACGAAAUUAAUGAUAUUUUCUUUUUAAAACACUCAUGUGUGGAAGUAGAGAUUAGAGAAUAUAUAUGUGAAAGCUUUUGAUCAAGUGAUCAUUAAUGAGAAGUUUAAUGGUUUUGCAUUGGGUAUGGGGGUUUGAUUUUUAGAUAGUGCAAUUGCUUACAGUUUAUGGAUAUAAAAAUUCAGAUAUUGUUAAUAGAACUGUCCGUUGUAGAUUUUUGUGUUGUUGUGAAAAUGAUAUGUCAUAAAAUUGUUCAUAGUGCCUCUAUAUGGAAAUAUGUGAAAAAAUAAACAUACAUAACUCAAAACUCAAAACUUUGUCGAUAUAAAUCAAAAUCAUGGUGCAAUGAAAAUUCUGUCAAAUCAUAUGCAGCAAACUUGCUUCUUCAAAAUCAAACGAAUAUCUUCCUCAAGAGAAUUCAUUACUCAUUACAUGAGAUGUGGUCUAACAGCUCUUUUCUAAAUCAAUACAACCAAUAUUUUUUAUCCAAUCAACAGUUUCACUUCUGAACAUGUAAAAAUUUGGUCCUCAUUGGUUGUAAACACGUCUAUAAAACACACUCUUCACUAGUUCAAAUACUUUUGAGCAAUUCAGCGGUGUUAUUUUUCUCUUCUAAAUUCAACUGGAUACGACGGAAAAAGAUGGCAAAGAAGCAAAAGAGGACUCGUUAAGUGCAACUUAAAAGUUUGGUCAUAAAAGUAAAGCUCGUCCGUGGAUGGGAACAUGGACACGUGAGACACCAUUAGCUUCUUUAUGUUGUAUAGGUUUUAUUUUAUAUCCGCUAUAUAUGAAUUUUUAAAAUAACAAUAAAACGAUUCCCUAUCAAUUUACUAUUUAUAAAUAUUUUAUGUUCUGAAAACUAUAGAUUGCAUCGAUAGAAGUGGGGAAUCGUGGUCCAGCUUUGGCUUUUAUAAUGUCAACAUUAAAAUAAAAUAAAAAUAAAGUUUGAUUAUCUUUUUAAAAGGAACUUCUUAAUUAAGCAAGUGUUUCUCUCUUUUUUAAUUUAAUUUUCUCGAGUGGGCUGCUAUAUUGGGAAAUAAUCGAUCGGGCGAGAUAUGUUUUAGCAUGAAGAUCUAUCUCUCUUUGCUGUUUUUUUUCCGUUUCUUUUAUUAGUACUAUAUAAAAAAAAAGUAAUGAAUUUGAACGAAGGACCAAGGGUGAGAUGUGAUAUCAUUUUUGAUGUUCUGACAAAAAUGAUAUUCAGAAAUAGAUUUGAUUAUGCCUUUUUCUCAUAGCUAUUUUAUUUAUAUAAUCGACUCAAAGUUCAUUUAUGAUGUACACAAUUGAGUUUUUUGUUUUUCCUUUUUUCCUAACAACUAUUUGUUUCGUUACAAAGAGAAAACACAAAUUAUAGAUUAGCACAAUCCCACUAAAAAGCAUCGAGUUUUUUGUUCAUUAAUCAUGCAUCUUUUUUCAAAAAAUCUAUACAUCUAAUCAAAAUCGAAUCUCAGUUUCGACCUUUGAAAACAAAUAUUUGAAAUAAACCCACUUGGUUAUACUAUAGUAUAUGAAACUUUAUCGUUUGGGAAGAGAGGAUCUAUCAUGCAACUCGGCAAGGUUUAGUCAAGGACAUUCAACACAUUUCGUAAUUUAAUAUAUACUUAAGUUUAAUAGUUGAAAUAGAUCUAUACCAUUAUGCAACUAAUUUCUGAUAUAAGAUAAUAGAAGGCGAGACAGAAAACCCAUGACACAACCAAAUUCUCUUCCUUAAGACACAAGGAACAUGUGAUUUUGAACUGAGAGAGAGACUUGAUCUCGAAAUAAACCAUAAACCUACGUUUAAGCUCGCUAUAGAAACUACAAAACGCAAGCAACACUUCCCGUGUUCUUUCAGAGAUUGAUCAUUGCGAUUUGAUUCGGCCUAAGCUCUCAGACACAGAUCUCAUCCUAGGACGCAUGUCUGGAUCCAUCUCCGUGCAGUUCAAAGCGACACGAAUGGUUGCAAUAACUUGCUUAUCUGCAAAAUCCUGUUUCAGAAGCUCCGGGUCUAAGAUAUCGGUCAGCAAUCUCUCUUCUUUGUGCCACUUCCUCGUAAUAUCAACAAGUUCUUCUCCUUGCAAUUCAGAGGAACUAUUUGGUAACCGACCAGUCAACAAUUCCAACAGAAUCACACCAAAUGAAUAAACAUCGCAUUUCUGAGAAGAUCUGCAGCCAGAAGAAUCUCGGGCUUCGGGUGCAAGGUAAGCAGCCAGGGGAUCUGAGAGUCUUGUCGCAAAUGUUUGGUCUAUGCCUUGCAUUUUGGUGGAUAGUGAGUGAUCAGUGAGUUUGGGAUAACCCAAAACCAGACGUGUGAGACCAAAUCCUGAGAUGUGAGGAUGUAGCUCAUCAUCUAACAAGAUUUUGCUUGAUUUUAGGUUUCCGUGUACAUACUUUCUCGAACUGUAUUCAUGUAUAUACAUCAAACCCCGAGCAGUCCCUUGUGCUAUAUGUAGCCUCUCCGCCCAAGAGAGAGGUUGCCGAGUUUUUAAAGGUCCACCUACAAACAAAAAAAAAACACAAAUUCCGUCUUAGAAACCAAUGAUGCAGAGUGCCUCAAAAGUACCAACAAAAAUCUCAGGAAAACGGAAAAUUCUCAGCUUUGUGCCCCAAUCUGAUAAGAGAAUCAAACAUAUCAUGACCAAGGUAGAUAUUUCAGAGGUUAGACUAAACACAUACAGGAGGCACAGAGCUCGGAUCUUAAUCUAGUCUCUGCUUAAUAAAGUAACAAGUACCAAGAAGAAAUCUUUUUUGACGUCACAUUAAAAACUCUCUUAAGCCGAAACUACCAUUAAUUCACCUACCGACUAUGCUGAGAACAGGACCACACACGACAUUGCUCAAUCUAUUCACGAACUCCAUAGAGAACCAAAUCUGUUUAUUUGUUUUGUUCUGUUUUGUUUGUAUUUUUUUUUUGGCAGGAAUAGAGAUCCCCAUGCUUGUCAUCUAUCUCUACUGUUUCAAGUUUCAACACAUAUAAACACAGAAAGCUUUAAACAAGAAAACAACAAAGAAGAAGAAGUCAAACAAGUUAGUCAACUAUACCACAAUCACACAAAGAACAAAAAGCUCUCAACUUUCAAACCGAGAGCAAUGACUCGCUAAUAAGCCUUAUAAUUAGCGGUUGACAAAAUCAAAUUUUAGUAUUAUUAUUGGGAAAUGAAGAAAGAUUAGCAUUUACCAUGUAAAGCAGAGUACAAGCUGCCGUUGCUAAUGAAAUAAGUGAUGAGAAGCUUCUCGUCCUCUGCGUAAUAGUAAGCUCUUAGCCGUACGAUGUUUGGGUGGUUGAUCCUACCGAUUGUCUCCACUUCGUUCUCGAAAUCCUUAAACCGCCACGUGGCGUUACCGUCGCUGAGCCUUCUGACGGCGAAAACGGCGGUGGAGGAGGAUUCCGCCGCCACCACUCUGUACACAAUCCCGCUCCUGCUCUUGCCUAUUACGUAAGCGGAAGCCCUCAGCAAAUCCUCAAGCUCGAGCUCGAAUCCUUCAUCAAAGGCUACAAAUUUACCCUCCUGCCCUUCUUCGUCGAACUCUAAGGCCAUCGUCUUCGUCUUCGCCUCCGUUUUGUAGCUCCGUUUUCUUCUGAUUAGCCAUACCGAUACAAAAACCGCUCCGAUUAAAACCGAAACUCCUGAAAUCAGCGAAACCGUCACUGAUCCGGCGGUGAUCUGCUUCUCAUUGCCUUCGUUCUUGCUGAUUACACUUGGGUUUGGUUUCUGGAGUUCUUGUGUGCCUUCCGGUUUCGAAUCGACGAAAUUAGGUGUUCCGAUUUCUUCGCACGGCGUUUGCAAUGGAAACCCACAGAGAUGAGAGUUUCCGGCGAAUGCGAUGGGUCCUUGGUUCAAUAGAGAACCAACCUGAGGUACUUUUCCGGUCAGAUUGUUGUGACCGAAAUUCAAGCUGACACAAACAGGAAACCGACCGUACGACGGUGGAAUCUCGCCGGUGAAUUGGUUAUAAGACAGGUUUAAGGUUCCGACGAGGCUUCGGAGCUCAGGGAGUGAAUCAGGGAGUGACCCGUUGAGACGAUUGGAGGAGAAAUCGAGGUGGUUGAGAGAUUUCAUGGACUUGAUUUGGGCUGGGAUUGGGCCGACGAGUGAGUUGUGAGAGAGAUCGAUGAACCGGAGCUUGGUUGCUUCGAAGAGACGAGCCGGUACCGGUUUGGAGAAAUUGUUGUGAGAUAGAUCGAGCCGGAUAAGCGAGUCGAGUAAACCGAGUUCCGACGGGAUGUAACCGGAGAGACCUUUUCCGAAGAGUACAAGGGAGGUGACUCGGCCGUUUGUACAGACGAUUCCGGACCAAUGGCAAGGAGUCGGGUCGGAUUCAGACCAGUGGUUCAUCACUCGGGUCGGAUCGUUAUCGACGGCGGAUUUGAGAGCAAGAAGUGACAAGCCGUCGGAGUUUAGAGAGAAGCAAAAGCUCAUGCAGAGAAAGAUGGAAGAAACAACAAGUGAAAGAAUCCAGAGGAACUUCAUUUUCUUUUGUCGUCUUCUCUAUACAAGAAAAUCAUUCGUAUUGUGAUGCAACGAGAAGUUGCAGAUAAAAACGAUAAACAGUGAAGAAGAAGGAGAAGAAUGAGGGAGAUUUGACCGAGGUUAGAUUCUUUUAUGGUUGCAUUGUAGCAACGUGGAGUAAUGUAGUCAUGAUCACAAAUUUUGAAAUUUUUUGUGCGCAGGAUUAUGGUUUCAAAUUAUAAUAAUAUAGUAUUGGGAUUUGUAUUUUUGGUUUCUCAUGAUUUUUUAAUUAUUUAUAGUUAAAUUUCAAGUUUCAGAUAUUGUGUUACAUGUUCAGAGUUUUGUCUGCGUUGAUGAUAACUAGGAUAAUAUGAUAAAAAAGAUAAGGAAAAUGCUAAAGUUGCAACUUACAAUAUUUUUGAUUAAAGUUUGAAAUCCGGAACAAUAUAUACCUGGCUAGUGAAUGUUCAAAGAAAAUGGUACUAAGCAGAAAUAAAAUGAAUCUUCAGUUUGCUACGAAGAUGUUUGUCUGAAAUGUUAAUAGAAAUAGCAACAAAUAUGCAUUUUUAUAUCAAAGAAAAAUAUUUAAAUUUAUUCGUACAGAUUUACUAGCUUUUGAUAGAAAUAGCAACAAAUUUACUAUUUAAGUAUACAAAGACGCAUAAUUCAGCUAAAGUAAAUUAAAAGCUAGUAGUAUCUCAAAUUAUCAAUAGACAAUGGUACAAUAAGCAAUCAUAAGACUGAAGAAAGAAUAAACAUUUUUUUUUGGCAUCAAUUUAUUCAAUGCGCAGAAUCUUAAUAGGACACCUUGAGCCAUGAAAAAAAUUAUACAGUCCUACUAAACCUACAUUUAUUUUACUUUACGAUACAAAUCAGUGAUUAAAAAGCUUAAACACAGGUUAAUAAAAAUAGAAACUAAUCGACCUUUACAGGUUAUAUCUUGUCACGAAGGUUGACGUAUUAUAUAUCUGGCUUUGAAGCUAUGAAAUUUGAAUUCAGUAUAUAUAUAUAUAUAUAUAUAUAUAUAUAUAUAGAUUUUAUUCAAAUUAAAGGGAGGAAGAGACGAUGUAUAAUUGAUUGUGUCAGAGAAAUUUUUUUAACCAACCGACAAAAGUCACCAAACACCUUGCAUUUGUGAACGAUGCCACUUUUGGAUUAACAAUUCCACCAAGGGCUUUUCCGUAAAUUAACUACGUGAUGCAAACUACUGUGAAUACAUCUAUUCCAUACAAUGUACUUAUGUACAUAUAUAUCAUCCCUUCUUAAUUUUCUUCUUCUCUUUUCUUGUUUUUAAUCAGAUAUGAAUGAGAUAAUGACGGCUCUAAGUCCAAUUUCUUCGACUAGACAGUACAUGAUGUUAAUCUAAUACACUCUUUGUUUUUGAUCUUUGUUUUUGAUGCUUAGCUUCAAGAUCAAUUUUUUUUUUGGAUAACCAUUUAAUUUGAUACGCAGGUGGAUUUUCCGAAAUUGAUAGUAUAAUAUUUUAGUUAAUUGACUUUCACAUAAAAUGAAUAUUUGUCAUAAUCCAACAUAUCAAAUUAUAAUUGAUCACAUCUAAUUUCCUUGCACAAAAAUGUACUUUCAAAGUAAAUAACUUUUUUAGAAGAAAUAGAACAAAUCAACAAAGUGUUAACUAGUAGUGCAAUCCGUGUACACGAACAUCUUGCUAUUUUAUGGCAGAAACUAUAGUGAUUAGUGUGACAUUACAAUAUUUGUCAUUUUAUUUACAAAGUUUAAAAAAUACUACCAAACUAAAUCCAAAACCCCAACUCAUAAGAUCAAAAGCGACUAUGUGGUUCUCUCUCAUCUUUAAACCCAUAAUGGCUCAUCAACAUUUAACUAUGUCAUUUGUUUAGGGGAGUGUAUCUUGUUUAACAACUGCAUAAUGCAAUGGUAUAUUUGAAGCAUACUACUUCUUCUCUGCUUUCUUUUUCUCUAAUAUCACACAUUGGAAUCAAAGGAUACCACAAAACCUAGAUAGUUAAAAAUUGUUUCAGAAAUUGAAUUCAAUCAUCAAAAUCAUAUUUAACCAAUAUUAGAAUAAUCCAGUUAUGUAGAAAUUUAGUUUCAUCAUCGAAACCCACAAAACUUAUAAUAAUUCAGAUAAAUACAUAUAUUUUUAAUAAUAUAUUUUCAUUUAAUAUUCAUUCGUAAUAAUAUAUUUUUACUACUAGUCUUACUAUUACUAUUAUUACUACUAGUAUUACUACUAAUAUUAUUAUUAUUACUACUAAUAUUAUUACUAGUAUUACUACUAGUAUUACUAUUACUAUUACUAUUACUAUUAUUACUACUAAUAUUAUUACUAGUAUUAUUACUAGUAUUACUAAUAGUAGUAUUACUACUAGUAGUAUUACUAAUAUUACUAAUAAUAUUACUACUAAUAUUACUAUUACUAUUAUUACUAGUAUUACUAAUAGUAGUAUUACUACUAGUAGUAUUACUAAUAUUACUAAUAAUAUUACUAUUAUUACUAGUAUUACUACUAGUAGUAUUAUUAGUAUUACUAAUAGUAUUACUACUAAUAUUACUAUUACUAGUAUUACUACUAGUAUUACUAUUAGUAUUACUAGUAUUACUACUAAUACUACUAAUACUACUAUUACUAAUAUUACUACUAAUAGUAUUAUUAUUAAUAGUAAUACUAGUAGUAAUACUAAUAAUAUUAGUAGUAAUACUAAUAACAAUAUUAGUAAUAUUAGUAGUAAUAUUAGUAUUACUACUAAUGCUAGUAGUAUUAAAACUGAAAUUAAAACUCUAAAAAAUACUAGUUUUUUGUUUGGAAGACAAUGACCAGAUUUUUUCUCAAAUUCAAAAAUCCAAUCACAGAAUCUGAAUUGAAUUGAAUAUAAAAUAUAUAUCAGUUUGAUGAUUUCUUGAUCUCGUUAAAAUAAAGUUAUCAAAAAGCCUAAUAGCUGAUUUGUAUGACUCUACUAGGCUUCGAUUUACUCUAUGAAGCUACUAUUUUGAAAUCUACUAAUUAAAGAUGAUAAAAUACUUUAUUUUUUGAGCUUUAUAAAAAAACAUAUUAAAUUCUGUGGGUUGGACCGCAAACCUGCAGAUAUUGACUUGAUCCGUAAAAUUCAACUUCCACGCAGGUUUGAUUAUAAAACCCAUAUUUUAUUUAGAUAAAAUUUUAUGGAACCCAAGCGCACCGUAGUGGUUCUACUUGGGCCGAGCCCAAUUUGACACUUCUACGUCUAACAUGACUGGUUUGAUUUGGUCUAAUUCUAUAUCAACCGAACUAAUAGAAUCGAUCAGAAACAAAUGAAUUAACCGGAAAAUGUAAUCAUAUCGAAUAUAGAAUUCGGUUUCAAUUUGGGUUCAAAAUCUAUUAUACCAGAAAAUCUAAGCUGAAACCAAAAUACAAACCGCAAGCUAGCAAUUAAACCGGUCCGGUUUGAGUUGAGAAAACCUUUCGUAGGUCGAGGUCGUCUCUAGUUGGGCACUAACAAAUCUGUGGAUUUACCCAUCAAUUCGUCUCUUUGCUUACAGCAGAAAUCGCAACCACAGCGAUGCCGUCGACGCAGUCCUUGACCGUCGCAGCGAAGUCGCUACGAAAUCGGAUCUUCUCCAGGUCCGGAUCUACAUCCGCCGGCCCGAGUCGUUGGGCGACGCCGGGUCACGAGGAGCGGCCCAAGGGUUACUUUAUGAACCGUACUCCUCCGCCACCGGGACAGUCGCGAAAAUGGGAAGAUUGGGAGCUUCCUUGUUACAUCACCAGCUUCCUCACGAUUGUAAUCCUCGGCGUCGGACUCAAUGCCAAACCUGAUCUUUCCAUCGAGACUUGGGCUCAUCAGAAAGCCCUAGAACGCCUUGAAAUGGAGAGGCUCGCUUCCGCCGGAGAUUCGUCGGAUUGAGCACCGCUUUUUGAUCUCCGGAUGGUGGAUAUGCCCCUGAUGCUUGAUCUGGUAUGUCCUUUGUUCCGGGGAUUUGAAGGGUGUUUUUUUCCCUGUGUUAUGACGAUCACGAAGAUGGAGAGUUAGGGCUUCGUUCUCGCCACCUGAAGAAUUUCGUUUCAAUCUCUUUGUUUUGUCGAUAAUGAUGUUCAUGAAAUAAGUGUUCUUUAACUUUUUCGUCGCACUUGCCCUUACUCUCUCUACUUAUUAUUACAUUUCUCAAAUUUGGUCACUUUUUGUUUAGUUUGCUCGUUUUGAUCAACAUCUGCAGAGUUUGAUUGGUCUUCUUACAAAUGAUUCUAUUCGCUUGUUGAUUUUUCACAUUCGUCGAUUCUGAAUCUCAGGUCCAUCUUUCUACUUGUCAUUUGAUGUAGUCAGAGGCUGAUAGAAUAGCUGUAACUAGGAGAUGGAAUGUUCCUCUGUUUUGUAGACAUGGCAUGCUUCACGAAUGCUCAUUAAUAUAGAUUUCGGUAUGCUAUAUGAUUAUAGCUUUUGUGCAGCGUACACAUUGAGUUUGGUAUAUGCUUUAAAGUGGUUUGGAGUUCUCAUGGCAUCAGAUUGUUAGAUGCUGCAAUACACUAGAUUUCAGUUUUUGGUAUUUGAAAGGCUUUUAUUGCUCAUUGCAUCAGUAUUGGAUGGAUGCUUGAAAAAUUCAGUUAAGGUUGGAGUAGAGUAUGGCAUCAGCCUUUGUUAGAUUCAGAAAAACUAGAUUUCAGUAUAUUCACUUGUGGCAUUUACUAGGCUUUUACUGCUCAUUGCAUCAGUGCUGGAUGCUUAAAACAGUUCAGUAAUGUCUACAAUGUAUUAGAAUGUGUGGAUAUUGAAUGGUGAGUCUCUUUUGCAAAUACUGAGUUGAGAACUCGUUUCAAUAUAUCGAAAAAGGUCUAUGCAUGUGUGUGGCUACUGGUGUCAAUGGGAAUUUGAUCAAUUACUUGAAUAUGUCUCGAAUUGAAACUUCACUCAGCUCUGGGUAGAGAAGGUUUUUGAAAACAUGACAGCUCCUACCUCUAUCUCUAACAGGUUCUGGUCGAUGGACCUUCUAUUGAAUAAAUCCAUUUCGAGUAAUAUAUUGCUUGUCGUUCCAAAGUCUUCUGAUAAGUUUCCUUUACUGUGGUUUAAUAGUCUUCUCUGUUUUAGUAUAGAGCCUUUUUAAAAUGUAAGAAAACUGAUCAUUUCACUCUUCACAUGAUUUUUCACUGGAGACUUGAGAAGAUUCCAAUAGUAAAGCCAUGUGAAGAAAGUUUGUCCUCUUAUCCAUUUCUUCUGUACAUGAGAACUUUUCAUUCGUAAAUUCCAAUUCAUGAAAAUUAUGAACACUCGUAAUCGUACGUUAUUUGAUGUCGGUGUCAGUCAGAUGUUUUAAACGAAAGAGACAAGGACACUACGGUCAUUUAAAAGAUAAGCUACUUUUUCGGGUAAUUGACCGGCUAUUUCCAGUAGACAAUCCAUGUUUUUUUUUUUAUUAUAAACAAAAAUGCACCAUAACUUCCCGCACUCGGAUAUCCCAAUAUAGUGUGUGUGAAAGAGAGAGAGAGUGUAACAGCAAGAGAGAAAGUAGCUUUAUUAUGGAUUACAGAUAAAAGACAGCUAAUCUCAGUGACGCAAAUCUGAGAGUAGACUUCACUCUGUGUAGAUUAAAGUAACCCGUCUUGAUGAGGAAGACAACCUAAUGGGUUUCGUCAUGACUUCGCAUUGAAACACCACUUUCUCAAAAGUCUUCUCUCCUUUUGCUGUUCUGUUGCUUCUGGAGAAUUUCAGUCACUGGUAAUUUGCUUUUCUUUUGCCCCCCAUUUUUUACCUGUUGAUUUCUUUAGUCCUCAUGGUUGUAUUUCAUGCUCUGUUUCUCUCUCUGUUUCUUACUAUAUAUUUUUUGAUACUUCAGAAAAUUCAGUUCCUGAAAUUCUCUGGAUUUUGUUAAGUCUGGUUAAUUUUAAUCACUCUGUAAAUUAGACCAAAAAAACAAAACAAAAAAAUCAUUCUUAUGAAUCCCUAAGAUUAAGUGAAUGCACCCAUUAUUCUAUCUUACCAAACUUUGAACAAGUUGCUGGGGCCUCAACUGCUACAGUAGAUUCAGACAAAAUAUAGCAAGUCCGAUUAUGUCCUUUUCUUCCUCCAUCAUGUGGUGUCGUUUUCAGGAACAUGAAUAUAUCCAGCUGUGUUUUUAUCCUUUAGCUCAUCUUGCUCAAUCUAAAAAUCAUUACUUUCGAGGCUUUUCGACAGAUUUUUUUCUUUUCUUUCUUCUCUGGAGUGUAGGGUUGCACAAUUCUUCUUGGAUCGUUUUCUCACUUGGAAGCUGAAAGUAACUGUUUCUUUGGCUGCAUCGGAAGAGUUUCAUUCAUGAUGAAGGCAAGAACAACUAACAAUGUCCAGUCGAAGCGAUCUACUAAGAGUGUAAGAAAAGAUCAGAAGUUACAGAAGACUAAUAGCCAGAAACGAUUAUCAGAGCAAGAGAAACACAAGGACUUGGAUGCUAAGGAAGAGUCUAACAAUCUCUCUACAGUAGCAAGUGAUUCAACCACACAAUCAGAUCCCUCUGAGGCUUACGAGACUGUAGAUGUUCGUUACUUGGAUGAUGAUGAUGAUGGUGCCAUUGCCUCUGCAGAUGCUCAUCAAGUAUCAAAUUCUCGCAGACUUGUAGAGAAAACGGAGAAGAAGCAUAACUUAAGUGGAUCCGUUUGUGAUUUGGGGAAAGGUGUUGAUCCUGAACAAGAAUGUAAAGGUGCUAACAUCGAUACAGAUGCUCUUGAAGGUAACAAUGCCGAUGUCUGGGAAGAUGCUUCGAAUGGUGCUCUUAGUGCUGGAAGUGAGAACGAGGCGGCUGAUGUAACAGAGAAUAGCAUUGAGGAUGGAUCUUCGAGAGAGAAGAUUGAGAAUCUGGAGACGAGAAUCGAGAAACUUGAAGAGGAGCUUAGAGAAGUUGCUGCACUCGAGAUUUCGCUCUAUUCUGUUGUGCCAGACCAUUGUAGCUCUUCACACAAGCUUCAUACGCCUGCUAGGCGUAUUUCUAGAAUCUACAUUCAUGCCUGUAAGCAUUUUACUCGAGGAAAGCGUGCUACGAUCGCUAGAAACUCUGUCUCUGGUCUUGUUUUGGUUGCCAGAUCUUGUGGGAAUGAUGUCUCGAGGUACGCAGAAUAUGUUAUGACAUGUGAGUGAAAUUUCAGGAUCUUCUAAAUAAUUUGUAUUUUGCUUUCUCUUGGAUUCCUACAUGUAUUAGGUUGACCUUCUGGUUAUCGAACAUCAUAGCUUUGAGGGAGAUCGUUUCGCAAGCGUUUGGUAAGUCUCGCAUCACACAGAGCUCUGAAUCAAACGGGAGUGAAAAUGGUGAUUCAGGGAAGAAAACAAACCUGAGAUGGAAGAAUGGUCUUCAACAGCUUUUGGAGGAUUGGCAAGAAACUGAAACAUUUACUGCUGCACUCGAGAAAAUUGAACUCUGGGUUUUCUCUAGAAUCGUAGAGUCUGUUUGGUGGCAGGUAUAAACAAAAUGUUCCUAGUUAAAAAUGAGCUUCUAAUUAAGCGUCUCACUUUUGUUCUUCUUCUUCUCCUAUCUUUCAGGUAUUUACUCCUCGUAUGCAAUCCCCUGAAAAUGACUCAUCAGCGAAUGAGAAACUGAUGGGAUCUUCAUUGGGUGAUCAGAAGCAAGGAACGUUUUCGAUAAGCCUAUGGAAAAAUGCUUUCCGAGAUGCUCUGCAACGGCUUUGUACUAUGCGAGGUGGAGGACAUGAAUGUGGUUGCUUAUCUUUAUUGGCAAGAAUGGUAAUCAGAUUUUUCCAUUUGUUUCAUGCUCAGGCCAAGACACAAGAAUCAUAUUCUUACUGUCUUCUUUAAAACAGGUGAUGGAGAAGUGUAUCGGUAGAUUCGAUGUAGCAAUGUUCAAUGCUAUUCUGCGCGAGUCAGAACAUCAGAUUCCAACGGAUCCUGUCUCUGAUCCUAUCCUUGAUUCUAGAGUUCUGCCUAUUCCUGCUGGAGAGUUAAGCUUUGGAUCAGGGGCACAACUCAAAAACGCGGUAACUAACAUGAAUCAAAGCUCAAAUUUUCAUAGCCGUUAGAGAAGUGAAUAAAUGUUGACUAAUCUAAUGACACAAUAUUCUUCCACUUGCAGAUUGGGAGUUGGUCGAGAUGCCUCACUGAAAUGUUUGGCAUGAACUCGGACGAUACUUUAGCGAAAGAGAAAAGAAACAGCGAAGAUGGUCAUUUAGAAAGUGAAGGCAGUGAUCGUAAAGCCUUUGUUUUGUUAAAUGAACUUAGUGAUCUUCUUAUGCUCCCAAAAGACAUGCUUAUGGAAAGAUCCAUUAGAGAAGAGGUUUGUCUUCUACGUAUAAUCUUCUUAGUCAUUCUUUUGUUCUUGGUUUGGCACCUUACAUUCACGAGCUUCAUCGAGCUUUCUUGUCCUUGAUUUAUUGGUUUUACGUACAAACAGAUAUGCCCAUCAAUCAGUCUUCCACUCAUCAAAAGAAUACUAUGCAACUUCACUCCUGAUGAGUUCUGUCCAGAUCAUGUACCCGGAGCUGUCCUAGAAGAGCUUAAUGCUGCCGAGGUACAAAACAUAUUCAAAGUUUGGAUUCUCUUUCUUCUCACAAUCCAUAAAGUAGGUAAUAACAUUAUUCUUUUUUAUGUUAUAUAUCCAGAGGAAUGGUGAUGAUGGGCAGCUAUCAGAAGCAAGCUUCCCUUAUGCAGCUUCCUCUGUUUCUUACAUGCCUCCAUCGACCACGGAUGUAGCUGAGAAAGUUGUAGAGUCUGCAGGAAAAUUGUCAAGGAAUUUGUCUAUGAUACAGAGAAAAGGCUACACGAGCGACGAGGAGCUUGAAGAACUGGACUCUCCUCUUACAUCCAUCGUCGACAAAUUGAGUGAUUUUACUGGUUCAGCGACUUCCAAUGCAAGAUAUGAGCUUCUUCGACAAGUGUGGGUUUAGAUGAGUGAUGAGUGGAAGUGUAUAACCAAGUAAAACUAUAAGUAGAGUGUUUUACUAUGGGAUGUAUGGAUUGCAAAGAGAAUUUUCCGAUACAGCUUCUGUUACGUAGAUACUCUGUUUUAGGUAUCACGCAGAAGCUAUCAUUUGGGUUCCAAACCUUUUAUCCCAUUAUCUAAAUAUGGACUACAGUAUUUUGAUCUGAUUUGACUGUUGAAACCAUAUUCGAUUUUUAUAAGCGAUUAAACUAUCUCAGAAGAUAAAAUCUUGAAGGACACAAAUGACUGGAAUUCGAGCUGUGUUAUCUCCAAGAAUGAUUGGUUUAUGUGGUACAAAGGUGUUGUUAAUAAGAAACUUACAUGAUCAUUAAAUAUUAACUCAACUUAUGUUAACGAUCACAAUAACUCCCAUAAAUAAUAUAUUGUUUUGAACAUCAAAAGAGUUUUUUUUUUUUAAAUAAAAAAUAAAUCUCAAGUGGAUUGACAUUGAUCAUGUGCCUGUGUAGCUUGAUAUUGUCGAAUUUGACCUAUUUAUAUUGCUUGUUUGAAUAAUAGAGUGAUACAAGAGGUAUUGUUACAUGCAGGAGUCUAUAGUAGGAAUAAAAUGCGCACAAAAUGUCAGAUCAUUUAUCUCCACAAGGUUGGCUCUUUGCAAGGGAAUAUCCAUGUUUCCAAAACUUCCUGAAAGUAAUAACAAAAAUCGUUGAAAUAGUGUGCUAUCAUUUACCAACGAAAAUCAGAAAGAAUCGGAGUAUUAGAUAUAGAAAAUCAGAAAUGCAUCAACAAAAUAACAGAGUUUCUUCGAUCACAGAGAAAUUAUCUAGGACUGAGUGUGAAUUACAAACCCUAACUUCGAAUUUCCCUAAUUAUUAUGGAGAAACUUAAUUCAAAAAAAAAAAAAAAAACUUAACACGAACUUCCCUAAUUGCAUUAUCGAACGAGUCCAAGGUUUCUCAAGCAAGAACUUAAUCUUGUUUCUCCAUUGUUUACGUACAAAUUGUUAAAAACCAAACUAAAACAAUGUUAAAAACCUAACCGGAAGUUGUUUACAUACAAAUUGGAUUAAUUGCUCUUCUUAUUUUAUUUCAUUUUCUUAACGUCACUAGUCUUCUUAUUUUAACCGUUAGACGAAAUCCAAACCGAUUUUGUAUUUUUUAGCUUACUAUAGAGAAACCGAUUUCAUCUUUGUCCAAAAAGGAGAAACCCGAUUUCAGUAUAAGUACUACUUAAGUAAAACCAUGAUUUACUAACGUUGCAUAUUUUUACACAAACUAUAUUAUACUCUCUGCAAGACUAGGACUGUUAAGGAAACUCCAGACAGCAUGUUAAUCAGUAAGGCACCAUCAUAAUGAAAAAUAAAAAUAAACAGAAAGAAAAAAUAGAAUUGAACUGAUACUUGAUUUAAUACCAUACAUUGUUGGCAAAUUAAAACCCUUACAACUUAUAUCACCGUGUGAUUAACUUGAUCAACACCUACUACCAAGUAAAAAAGACGAAUAGUGACACAAUCUACAGAACAGGAACGAUAUUGCAUCAUGGAGGUCUCGGAGGUAUAAUCUUCAGCUUCAAGGGUCUAUUUAAAUUUUUCUUAAACUGUGGGGUCUUAGGUGGAACAAUCUUCACUUUUGGGGGCUUCUUUGCAAUAUCUUUCGACUUUAACUCCACAACCGACUUUCUCUUAGCUCCGGCGCCGGUAACCUUCACCUUCUUCUGAUCGGAAACUUUCCGGAGAAAGGGAUGCUUCAAUAACUCCAAAGCGCUUCCUCUCUCCUUUGGAUUUCUUGCAAAACACGUUUGUAGAAACUGCCUUGCGUCACAAGGUAGAGACUGUGGAAUCUCAGGUGCGUUCCCAUUCAACAAAACAGGCAAAAGCUCCUUAGAAUCUUCGAACGGCCAUGGCAGUUCUCCUGUAUACAUCUCCAAAACAAUGCAACCUAAUGACCACAAGUCUAACUCUUUCUCGGCGACGCCGUCGUGAACAGAUUCCGGCGACAUGUAAAGAGGCGUUCCCAAAUAAGGAGAAUCAAACUCCCAAGCUUUCGACUCCUUUCCAACUUCCGUCGACAUACCAAAAUCUGAGAUCUUCAAUUCAUAUGAUGAUUUAAGUCCACCAACACCGUCUUCUUCGUAUUCGUGACGUGGAAACACAAGGAGAUUCUCCGGUUUGAGAUCGCAGUGGACAUAACCGUGAUUAUGAACAGAGAUAAGUCCUUGUAGUAUCAUACGAGUGAAAUCUCUGAUCAUCGAAUCAUGCAGCAAUGAUCUUGUUUCCAUGAAAGAAGUUAAACUUCCAGCAGCUGCGUACUCCAUCGACAUUCUGUAAACUCUGACUCCGUAAUCGUUGACACCUCUCGACAGAGAUGUUCCGAAGGUUCGCACGAUUCUCGGACAAUCUCUGAGUUUAGACAAAAUCUGAAACUCUUUGUAGAGAGACUCAUAGUCCUUUGCGUAAGAGCUUUUCACGGCUUGGUCGUACGGAUCUGAACCGUUGGGUUUUGUGAAUCUGAUGAGAUCCACGGAACCAUACGAACCUUUUCCUAAGGAUUUCAUAAACUCCAUUGACAGAAACGUGUUUUACUCACUUCCCUGCGACCUAAAACCCUAGUUGGAAUCUGAAUUUGAGGAUAUGUGGAGAGCAGAAAGAAGUAGUUUGUUGAGUUGUGAUUGAAAUUGAAGAAUAUGUGAAUUGUUUUCGUAUUUGAUAAGCCGAUAGGGUAAAAAAAAGGAAACAUGUUUGUUAAGUAGAAUCUAGACUCUUGAAACAAAAAAAGGAAAUUGGAUAACCCGCCGUCAUAUUACACAGACGAUUUAUGGUUGAUUCCACCAUUAAAUGAAUUUUAACCGUUUUGAUCUUUGGAUUUGUUAAUCUCACUAGUUUCAGAAUUAGCUUUAUUUUAUCUAAAUCACUUCACGCUGAUUUGGUCUUUGGAUUUGUUUAUCUCAUUGGUUUCAGAAGUAGUUUAUUUCUAUCUAAAUUAUCAAAUAUUUUCAUAUUUUCUCUUUUUUUUUGGUCAUCAUCAUAUACUUCACAUAUGUAUGGUAUUUACUAUUCAUACGGCUCUAUGCAACAUCAUUCAUGCCAUAUGGCUAACGAAAUUGUUAACUAGUGACAUAUGGUCCGGGCCAAGAUCAUAGAGAUUAGGGAAAGUAUUAUAUGGCCAUUUAUACCAACCUAACAAUAUGAGGCCCUCGUCCUUGAAAAAAAUAAUAAUAAUAAGAUAAAAGAAAGUGCUAUAUGAAAGUACAAAUAUGUUGUUCUUUUUUUCCAACGAAAGUACAAAUAUCAUAUAAGGAAAAAUUUAUACUGUAUGUUCACUGUUGUCUUUACAUAAUUACAUGGAGAAAUAUAUAAACAUAUGUUGAAGCUAAAAUUUAUUGACUUUAUCAUAUAUACAAGGAAUAAAAGAGAAGCUAGCGUGUGAAAAGAAACAAAAAAGGAGUUGAAUGUGUAACAUAUUCGCAACUUGUAAUAGACUAUUACAAACAUGUUUGUCUGUUACAGAGACUUUCUCCAAGUUAAACUAUAUGGUUCCCACACGAAGCCUCACUCCAAUCCUCACGUUAUAACUUUUAAUUUUCGUAUUUUCUUGACUAUGCUCAAUUUACAAUAUCUAGUCAUAUUAUUGGGAAAAAAUAGUAUUAGUCAAUUUAUCAUUUCUAUAGAAUUCUCAUAGCUGCUGUCAUGUUAUGUAUUAAUGGUAUAAAAAAUGGAAAAGAUUGCAAUGCUAACUGACUUUCAUGAAUGUGAUUAGAUUUUCUAAAUUAAAAACAAUUCCGAGUAAUUAGUCAACAAUGUCCCUUGAGUUUAUGAGUAUCUCUUACUUCUGCCGUAUUGCUCUGCCUGUUUUGUCCCAUCCACGGACCCGCCAAUCAUAUUAUAAUGCUUUGAUGAAUGAAUAAAAGUAAAAAAAUCAUAAGGGGUUAACAUAAAAACAUAUUUUAUCACACAACGAAGAUCCCUUCAAUCUCUCCAUUACUUGUGUUAUUAACUUAUAGUAAUCACUCUCUGUGUUUCUUGUUCCACCGAAACAAAAAAAAAACGCUUUGUCAUGAGCUCCGACAAUCCAGAAGACCGGUUCUGGCAAAACACGACUCAUUCUUACCAUGUCAACAGCAAGAUCUUACUCGUCACCAUCGUUUCCUUCUCUAUUGUUAUCCUCAUCGUCUUCGCUUUUCAUCUAUAUGCAAGAUUCGUUCUCAGCCGCCGUAGAUCCGCCUUCCAAGACCUCCCCUUCUCCAUCGUUUCUCAGCCGCCCAAACGUGGCCUCGACACUCUAAUCCUCGCUUCUCUCCCUACGUUCGUCGUUGAAGUCAACGGUGAUGUGGCGUCAACGGAAUGUGCGGUGUGUCUAAGCUUGAUGGAGGAGAAAGAGACGGCGAGGAUGUUACCGAACUGCAAGCACGUUUUCCACGUUACUUGCGUUGACACGUGGCUCACCACGCAAUCCACUUGUCCCGUUUGUCGAUCUGAAGUCGAGCCGAGUCCAAGGCUUGAGCCCGAGCCUAGGGAAGGGCCAGUUGGCGACGGUGCACCGCCGUUGGAUUUUGUGGCGGCGUCUUCGUCGGAGAAUAAAACUGGUGGAUCAUCGGUUAUGCGGUUAGAUUCGUUUCGGAGGAUUUUGACAAGGGAAAGAUCUUCGAACAGGAACGAUCAUUCUCGCGUUGACCAAGAUCGUGUAUUGGAUCUAGAAAGACAAUGAAUGGAUACAUAAUCAUUAAUCUUUAAUUCAAGUACAAAAUUACUCUUGUUCUUUUAAAAUUUUUGUUUAUUUACUCAAAUCUUUUGUAUAUGUAAAUAUAAUGGCACACUUUUGUAUGUUACUGUAAAUAUCGACAUUUGUACAAAGCCGAUGUUGAUUAACGUAAGAAGAUAAAAAAGGUUGAACUUGUAAUAUAACUAUUUGUCUAUUCAGACAGUUUUGUACUCCGAAGACUCUUCUUUCAAGUCAAACUAUGUGGUUUUACACGUAUCUGCCUUACACGUUUGAAUUUAUAUUAUUCGUAUUUUCCUGAUCAUGGACAUGUUACAUUAUUUCUAGGCAUAUAUUGAGAUAACACUGAAUUACCAUUUUUGUUGACAAAAAAACGUGUGUUAUCAUUUCUAAAAUCUGUUGGAUGCAAUCUUAUUUAACCAAAUGUACAUAUUUGUAAUGCAUGAAAUCAAAGAAGACAUAUAUGUUUCCUGGUCCCUACAUAGUAUUUUUGAUACAAACAUCAAAAGGUUACAUAUUUAAAACAAAUUAAAGUUUUUAGUAUGGAUGAAUCUUGUCGGCAAAAAAAAAAAAAAGUAAGGAUGUCUGCUUAGAUAUGUACCAUACAAAAUAACAAGUUAACAACUACUCUUCGUACACUGAAUUGGUGACAGAGGUAGAUCUAUAUCGUAUGGGAAAGGUGGGGCACGUGCCCCAUACAUUCUUUAAAAAAAUUCUAAUUGGUCAUUACAUUACAUCUGUUGAUUCUUUUAGUUUGAAUUGGCUUUUGAUGCCCACAUUAGAUCUUUAGGUGACGAGAUCGAUGCCCCAUCUUUAUAUUUGUAUCGGCCACGUUUCACAUUUUAUUUGUAACUCUCUGUAGCCACAUAAUUUAUACUCCCCUUUUGUGUCGUAUUCCCUCUAUGUUUUCUUUUUAUCAUUUAUUUUUGCUUGGUUGUAUAAUUAUGUUGAAUCGGAUUAGAUCUCGUAUUGGAUCUUGAAUUUCGGAUAUUUUGUUCAAUACUAAUUUUUAUAAUAUUUUUUUCAAAAUCAUUAUUGGCGAUUCACUUCACAAAGUCUAUAUAGGAAUUUAUAUCUUCCAAAUUUAUAUAUGUAUAUAUAUAUAAUUUCUAAACUAUAAACGUAUCAAUACUUACGAAUUUAUACGAGCUAAAGUAUAAACAUUUUUUUUUGGUUCUUAAUUAGCCAUAGAGUUUAGUGUUUCCAUAUAAUCCAAGUUAAAGUCAACAUUGAUGAAUUUUCAAGCCUUGAAAGUAGCUAUCUCCCAAACUUUCUUAUUCUAUCUACUUGAUAUUUUUCUCCACCCACCAACUAAAGUAUCAACUUUGGAGAAAAAAUAAAAAUAAAUAAGAAGAAAUUUCAAGAGUCCUUUAUUCCUUAUAUAAUAACAUCAGAAGUUAGUAACAAUUUCUGUUCACUAUCCUUCUCCAUCCACCUAAGAAGAAGAAAAAAAAAAAAAUUUACACAAUGAGCUCCAACGACAGAGACCAACACUGGUUCAACGAUCACCAACACCACCACACGUUCUGGCCAAAUCCUUCUUCUUACAAUCUCAACAGCAAGAUCAUGCUCGCCGCCGUGGUCUCUUUAUCAGUACUUAUCAUCAUCGUCUUCACUUAUCAUCUCUACGCAAGAUUCGUUCUCCGCCGCCGUAGAGAAGCUUUCAAUGGCCUCCCCGUCGUUUCACGCCAACCUUUUCAGGCGCCAAAACGUGGCCUCAACGCAACACUGAUCGCUUCUCUGCCUACUUUCACCGUUGGAACCAUCAGUGACGUGGUGGCUGCUACUGAAUGUGCUGUGUGUCUCAGCGUGUUGGAGGAGCAAGACACGGCGAGAGAGCUUCCGAAUUGCAAACACAUGUUCCACGUCGACUGUAUUGACACGUGGCUCACUAGUUGUUCCACUUGCCCUGUUUGUCGGACUGAAGUUCAGCCAAGGCCGAGACUUGAGCCUGAGCCGAGAGAAGGACCAGUCGGCGACGGUGCUGCACCGCCGUUGUUGGAGGAAGUUAGGGUGAAUUUGACGGCGGAGGCUGCAGCAUCUUCUUCGUCCGGUAACAAAACAGUUGGCUCGUCUGUUUCGCGAUUGAAUUCGUUUAAGAGGAUCUUGACAAGGGAAAGAUCUUCGAACAUGAUCAAUCAUUCUUGUGUUGACCAAGAUCAUGUACCGGAUCUUGAUAGACAUUGAGUCAAACAUAGAGAUACAUACUCUGCAUAUAAAUCAUACAUACAUGGAUAAUCUUUAAUGUAUACUAUUACUCCUUUUUUGUACUAAAUCUCUGUUUUUUUUUUUUUUUGUUGAUAUAUUUUUGUGUGAUGUAACACUGCUUAUAUGUUAGUCAAAAGAUACAUAUUGAUUAAUGUUGAUACUUUUCUAGUGAACUCUUCACCUUGGUAAGAGAGUAGAGAGCUUAAGUAUCAAAGAUCCAUUAAAGAUGCAGAAACAUUUGUAAUUACAUAAAGCUGAGGAUUGGGGAAAGGAAGAGAUCAAAAAAUGUUUCCUUCAAUCCCCAAGCGGUAGCUAAUGAUGAUGAAGGAUCAGUGUCAUCGUCACACUGUGGCUUAAAAUGAUGAAGGUCAACGUUGAGCUGCCGAAUAUCCGUCUUGCUCGGCUUAAAUCAGAGUAAUCUAAUGCAGUUGUUCUCUGCUUUGAGGUGGCAUCCGAGAUAUUGCCAUUGUUCAAUUCCUUAGCUAUUGAUAUGCUCAAUGUUACGUAGCCCUAUGGAGAAUGAGAACGUUUCAGAUGAUUUGCCUUUAAUAGCUUUUGCAACUGCAAAGUAAUUGAUACGAAGAAUACAUUUGCCAAGAUCAAAAGCAACCCUCGAGAAAAAUGAAGUAACUUUCAUCCUUCUAUAGCCAGAAACUAAUGAAUAGAGCUACUCAUGAUUUCAACCAAAAGCCAUCAAACUAUAAAUUAUUUAUGACAUUUUUGAAAAGAGCCUCAGAUCGACCAAAAUUGCUCCAAACAGCCUGAAACUAACACACGAAUGCUGGCUAAAUCGCAAUACAAAUGUGCAUAAUUUAAUUACCUUGAAGAGAAUUUGAAUGUUCCCUGACCUGAAAACAAAGAUGGGAAAUUGAUUUCAACGAACAGUACAAAAUGCAUCAAACUUCCAACAAUCAAUUCACAAUGUCAUUCAUAAUCGAAUUUGCAUUUUUCAUAACUAAAGACUACCCUAUAGGACCUAUACAUCACUCCAACAAAUUUGACACAAAAGAAAAUGUAAGCUUACUAGGAUUAAGGGAAGUAACAGCUGCGUUGUUACUAAAGUCUCAAGCUUUUAUCUGCGAGGCCGUUCUUCAGGACAUCCGAAAGAUCGUAGCUGAAUCCCGACGCAAUAGGCGCCUCCUGGACCAUAGACCCAGUCAAUGGACGUUUGGAUUGCUGAAUCCUCCGCGUUGUUCUUCGUCACGCACCAGAGCUCCGUCUCUAUUAUCUAUCCACCGAACUGCGCAGCAGCCGCCGAUAGAGAGAUGGAUUAGGAGGCAAUGAGGCUGAGAGGGAGAAUUCCCGGUCAUUUUCCGAGAGAUAGAACGAUUUCCUCUUUUAGCGAGAAAGCUAAAGAGGUGUGUGAUAUGUCGAAAACACGAAAGAUCUGAGAGUUACUCCCAGAGAAAGAAGAUGAGUGAAUCUGAAAGAAACAAAGAGAUGCGGGCGAAUAAUGUAAAUAUGUAAUUUUGGACUCAACCCGUUAUUGAACUCCAUAAUUUUCAGUUAAACCAAAAUUUGGGCCGUGUUAAAAUCCUUUGGCCCAUGUACUUUUUUUGUCGUGGCCCAUGUACUUAACUAAGCGUUAAGUGUCUUUUUAACUCUGGUCAAGUGUUUUUGCUGCUUAAAAUAGUAGCGAUCAAAUCAUCUAUUGAACACUACUCUUGUCAACAAAAUUUCAGUCUUCUCUCUUAAUUGAAUUGGUAAGUGUGGACUAACAUUUUUUCAAAAAUGUGACUGAAUUCAGAGAUUUUCUAUAGAAACAAAGAUAACAAUGGAUGUGUCCGUUUUUGAAAUUGUAUUUCCAAACUUUGGAGCUUUCUUUGUUAUAUUUCUUCUUUCUUCGAGUUGAACUGUGAGUUGUGACCGUCUCAUAUCGUUUUGAACCAUUUAAUUUCAAAAAGAAAAUAUGAAAUUAAAUGUCAAUAUAUCAAUUGUGACCAUUUGGUCCAGUAUACCAUACCACCCAUUUGCUAAAAGAAACUUAAAACCAAAUCUUUGGAAAUAAAUACCAAAAACAAUGAGAAAAACAAUAAAAACCAAAACCAAUUAUGUUACGAGAGCCUAGUGGUCCAGUCAAGGAACACAUCACGUGAACUCACAGCUUAGCCUUCAGAUGUGUCCACAUGCGUUCCACUUUUCUUUUCGUUCCUUUUCAUUCCAUAAGAUUUUUUUAGGGACCAAUUUCGACCCCAAUUCCUAAACUGAAUGCAAAAAGGUAUACCAAUCCAAACACACAAUUUCGAUCACGAAUUAGGUUGUCAAAUUUAAGUAAUUAGAAAAUUCCGAAGUUUUUAAUUUGGUCUAUUGUUUCUUUAAUAAAUUUAGAUCAUAGUAAAUCGCUGUUGGUAAACUUGAUAGUCUUCUCUUGAAUGAGGAUUUGAAUUGGAGAACAACAUCUCAAAUUUCCUAAUAGAAUUAUAUUCAUAUUCAUUACAGUACAUUACAAUGCUCUAUGGUGAAGGUACAGGUUACCCUCCUUUAUAAUAUUCUAGACUCGUAUUUUUUUUUCAUCUUUUGAAACACAAGAAUAUUAUUCAUUUAGAAGGGGGGAAAUAUGAAAUAAUUAAAGUAUAUCCUAAGUAAAAAAACAGAAUAUUAUUCAUAGUUUAAGAAUUUGCUUGGUAAGAGCUUUCCUUUUCUUAAUAUGGAAAAAAAUGGAAAAAACAUAUUGUUUUACUCUUAAUAAGGAAAAAACAUUUUGUACAACAGUACAGUAAAGUUGAUACAUUUCAUUCAUCUUUCCUUUUCUUACAGAAGUGGAUAUGCCAUAUGAUUUUACCAUCUAAAUUCUAUAUGACGUAACAACAUAUUGUUUUAUUAUGUCGUUAAGUGACAUAUUCCUAUAAUAGUGUACAAAACUGUUGAGACAGAAAAAGGUGAAAAAAGUAACAACCAUUAUACAUAUUUAAUUUUAGCCGUUCAAACAAUUUCUGCUUUCAUUUUGUAAUUUUUUGUUCAUACUGUAAAUGUCUAUAGACUAAUUUAAAUUGAGAGUUCCUCUUUUUGUUUGUCAGUAUAGUUCUUGUUUAACCUAUCUAAUAAAACUGGGAACAAUGCUUAUUUUUUUGCAAGAAGAAAUGUAACAUAGAGUAGAAAAUGAUAAACAAAUAAAACUAUUAGAAGAAAUUUUGAUUAGUACACAAAUCUUUUAUCUUUAUACACUCCCAGAAAGAAAGAAAGAGAAACAAGAAAUCAACUAGAUCUUUGUACAAACAACAAUGACUUCCCCUCCAUUAACCCCAGGAAAAGAAAACGACAUAAAAACUAGAGAAAAAAUAAGAUACAUCAGAUUAGAUUCAUCACAACUUUAAAAAAAAUGUGAUAAGAAUUUCAAAAAAACAAGGCCUGCUCCAUCUACAAUUCUUGACCCAAAGAGAUUUUUAGAGUCAAGAAAUUUUGCCAAGAAAAGUGAGAAUGUAGUUGAUUGUGAUGACUUAUCAGACAUUGAGGAGCUGCUCUUUUUCAAUAGACGGCUUGAUGUCGACGGCCGAAGUAGCUCCGACUCCUGUCGCCGGUGAAUGAUUUACAUUCUCUACUUUCUUGAGGCUUUGUUGUUGAUACACUUGUCGAAGUCUCUCUAUUUCCUUCUUCAAGGCUUCUUGAUGUGCUGCGAAUUAUUAUUACAAUUAUUUUUAUAAAUAUUUUGUCAGCAAUUCUUUGUAUCUCUAUAGAAUUUUUUUUUUUGGGCGUGCUCAUAUAUUGUCAGUGAGAAACUGUAUUAUUUCGUUGAAAGAUAUAUAUAGUUUCUCGAAUAUUUAAAGUUUGCUAAAAAAAAUGUAGGGAAAAUAAUAAUAGGUCUAUGAAAUUAAAGAGGAAAAAGGAAAAGAAAAAAUGUACCAUCUUUGAAAAUCUUGUCUUGGGCUAAAGCAGCGAUUCGUUGCUUGAGAGAGCUGUUGUCGACGUUGAGAAGCAAACGCUGGUGAUCCAAGAACGCAACUCUUGGCGAUAGCACUGACACUUCCGCCUUUAAUUUCAUUUUUUCACAAAAAAGAAAAACGUUUAGUCGACAAAAAAAAAACGAUUUAAGGUUAACUAUCAUCAUAAUUAAAUAAUUUAGUUAAGAAAGUGUAAAUGUAUAUACCUGCAAUGAAGUGACGCUACGUUCGAGCUCUGAUAUAUAUUGCAGUUUCCUCACCCUUGAUCUCUGUGCUGAUUGCCGAUUUGCUAAUAUUCUGUAGAACCAUUCAGAAAAUUUAUUCGAAUUUAAAUAAUUUUAUAAUUUUUUUUGUGAAAAGGCUUAGCUUAAAUUAUUAUUGAUGUGACGCUGAUUUAGUUUAUAUAAAAAAAGUGAUGCUAAUAAGAAUUGAUUUUCUAUUUAUUUUGUAUUCUGUUAACCAUAAUCUGAUAUGGGUUAAUAAAAUUGUACGUGCAUGCAUGAUCUUGGGUUUGCAAAAGUAGGACGAUGAUAAAUAAAGUUUUACCUCUUAACCCUUUUGGGAUCGAGAAUCCGGUUGCCGGAGCUAUCGCCGGAAUUAUUAUUCGACGCCGUACCAUCCUCUGGCUCCGUCUUGCAUUGGCUCUGGACUUCGUCGUUACUGUUGUUGUUAUCUUUCGCGUUAUGAUCGGACGGUGGUUCUUUGUUGUCGUCUUUAAAGCUGUUAUGAUCGGACGGCGUGGAUGUAUUCGAUGAAGAGCCAGUGGCCCCCACAUUCUUGUUGUUGUUGUUGUUGUUGCUAUGUGACAGAUUAUUACGCAAGUCGUCGUCGUCGUCGGUGAACAUCGACAUGAAUUGCUCGUCGUCGAACCUAUCGAAGUGGUGGCUUUCGAUGCUGACGUGGCCUGUGACGGCAGGAGCUUCGAGGAACGCGAUGGAGUCGCUGAUUGAGCGACGGUGGUUGCCGCGACGUGACGCUGAGAAGUCGAGGAACUCGUCGACCCAUGAGGGGUUUUGUACGGAAACGGCUGAAGCGGUUGUAGCGGCGGGUGCGGCUGCGGUGGAGAAAGGAGAGAGCUUUUGGGAAGAGAAAUCAGGCCAAUGUGGUGUCAUGUUUGGGAUUUUAGGAGGGAGUUGUGCCAUUGAAGAGAAUUUCUGUAUCGAUCUCUAUGCAAAUAAGUUUCUACCAACAAAAACAAAUCUGAUCAAUUUACAAGGAUUUAGGAAAGAAAAAAAAAACCUUUAUUAAUUACAAGAAAAACUAACGUUAAAACCCAAUUCAGAAACCAAAAACCUAGAAUGAAAACAAAGGAAAGAAAGAAAAAAACGAAAAUUUGAGGCAAAUGGAAAGUAGAAUCAGAACAACGUCCUAAACCAUUGGAAGAUUGAGAAUGAAAAUUAAGGAAGGAGGAGAGGAAGAAAGGAGAAAACGGAAAAAGAGUAACCAAAAUGGCUAUGUUUAACAAAUGGUAGUUAUAUAUAGAGAAGGAAAGACACACACAAAAAAAAAGAGAAUUAAUUAAGGAGAUAAAUGAGUGAAUGAGAUAUAUGAAGGGAAACAUAAUGAAUUCGAUGUGAUCAAAGUGUUUAUUAUCUCUGAGUAGGGUCACAUGGGGAAGAAGAGAUUGAGAUCGGACAGCUAUGAAACAGCUGUCUCGAGUAGAGAGGCUAAGGCCUCAACGGUUUUAUUGGAAAUUCUCCUCAUCCACUGGUUUUUGUUUUCCCUUAUAUAAAAUUACAAAAUAAUCUAUGUAAGAGAGAUUUAGAGGAGGAAUCAAGAAAUGAUGACAUCUUUGGAACUAAUCAAGUUUGUUUUGUGGUAUAUAUAUAGUAUUGUCUUCAAAAGUUAUAUUUGCACUUAUAUAAUUUCAUAUGUAAACAUAGUUACAAUUAUCUAAAUAGUAUAACAAACAAUCAAAACUUAAAUUAAUUAUGUUGUUCUAUGAAUAACGCGAUAAGUUAGCUAAUACAUUUGUUUUUGUUUUUCUAUUUGUUUUUUUUUUUUUUUUGAAAGAAGAAAAAGUAAAAAUGAUUAUAGGAAAGCUAGCUAAUACAAUUGUUUCAUAUUUGAUUUUUUUGACAGGUACUGCGCCAUAUCUAAUCUCUAUAGUAUUUUUUUCGUAUUUUGACGUAAACAAUAUCUGUAAAUUAAUAACUUUUGUACGAGAGUUUAUAAACCUACGUACAUGAUUACAUGCAUAAGUUAGUGGUAGCAAUAUAUCGCAUACGAUAUUCUCUAUAGAAUUCAGUCGAAUAAACCAACGUGACUUCCUUGUCAUACGUUAUAUGAAUAUCAUCAUAUUAGUCAUAUCCUCGAUCAAAAUCCUUUUUCUCCUUUAACAUUUUAAUGGAUUCUCUUGUUACUAUAUAGAUAUCGAAAAACGACUAUUCUAUAAUAUAAUAAGCGAAUGUAUCUGGUCUGGAGAAUCCAUUGGAAGCGCCUGUGGGAGCUCGACUCCAAGAAUUUAAUGGUAUGAUUAAUGAAGGGGAAAUCGAUGUCGAGAGGAAGAAGAAAGUAGAGUUAAGAGUAGAGAGUGAGCUGUGACAUAAACAUAAAAGGAAGAAGGAACAAAAUAAUGUUCCUAGACCACACACACAUGAAGCCCUGUAGGACACUUAGCAGUUUUUUUUUUCUAUUCAAACUUGUUUAUUCUUUCAAUCGUGUAGGUACGGAUGUUUUCGUCUGUACAUUUUUUCCAGAUCAAAAAAGUAAGUAGGAAAUUAGGAAUAGUAAAUGGGAGUUUUUGUUUCUAAUCAAAAUUGCAAUCUUUUUAUUUUUUUAUUUAUUUUUUGGUUCAAUUAUUCAAUCUAUUUCACGCUCAAAUUGUUGUGGUGGCAUUCACAAUCUUACUUUGUAUUAGAUCAAAACUUCUAAUUAGCAAUAUCAUCUUUCAGUUUCAGAUUUUUGUGAAGAUAACGGAUGAACAUGAACAUAUAUUCUGUAUAUAGUUAAAUAUAUCAUGUUAACUAAUAAAUUAAUUAAAAUUUGAGAAAUUAAGAACAGAAACAUUUAAAUCAUACGAAAACCAUCCGUAUUUCGUACAUUGAUUACGGUUCCACAAUAAUACACGCGAUCACAGAUCACAACAUGUUUUUGUUCGAUCCAAUUCUAAUCUUUAAUAUAGUUUCUUGUCCGAAGACAAACCUUAAAGCAACACAUGAAAACAAUGAUUGAAAUUGCGUAGAAGAUUCAAGAAACUAUAUAUAUGAUCACAGAGUUCCCUAAGAGUUAGUUAGCUCAUCUAUUGGGAUGAACAUUCUUCGGCAGACAUCGUCUUCUCUUACACCGAGCACGACGCCUAAGCAUCCAUAAGAUCACCAAGAAACUGAUCAAAACUAGCUGAAGGGCAAAGACAAGCUUCAUACCUGCAGAUAACAACAAUUUUGUUUUUGUUUGCUCUCGACAAUCCGAUUAUCAAACAUAAGAAACUAGCUUUCUCAAAAGGAGUUGCAGAACCUUGGAGAUUCUUGACCAUCUCCUGAAGAUUAACUGUGGUUUUCGAUCCCUUUGGAUCUAUUGUUGAACCGAGUUGCCUAUCAAUAGAUUUACGGUCAGUUCUAGGUUUGUAGAUAUAGUUAACGUUACCACCCAUUAUACAUGUGUUGGGACAAUGAAUGCCACUUUCGUACUCGUCGCUUCCAUCGCAGCAAUCUAAGAAAGACAAAUGUUAAUCGGUGUUCUAGAGAAGAUCAUUCACCAAGAGAGCUUAAACGAGAAUCAUUGUAGUAUAUAAGAUUCAGAAGAUGUUACUGACCACAUAUUCGAUCGUUCACACGAGAAGAGUAAACAAACUUUGGAGAACUUCCUAUGUUCCUACAGUAAAAUUUGCCAUUUGGACAUGCCGAAGUUCCUGAAGUAAACGCAUUGAUGCAAUCAAUCAAUCAAUCUAAGAAGAACCCAAACAUGGAAUCACUAAUCAGAUACUAUAGCCAAAGAACUAUCAGAAAGUUGCUAAAUUUCGUAUCUUGGCAAAAAUCUCAGCUCUCUGUAUUCUAAAAAUUUGCUAAAUUUCGUGAAAUUAGGUUGAAGGAAAGGUGAACGGAAGUGAGUACCAGGCUCAUCGGUGCCGUCGAGACAAUCGCAGAAGUUGUCGUUGAGACGGUCUCUAGGAAAUGAUUUGGAACCAUCUUUGCAUCUGAUAAUGUCUGAGUCGAAAUAUUUUUCAUCUGCUUAAGUAGAACAUAAAAAGAAUGAGAGAUCAAAAGCAAAAUAUACAAAUUUGUGAGAAGAAAAUUCGAAGAAAUCAAACCUAAUGGAUGAACACCGACGAGGGGAGAGGUCGACUUGCCGGAGACGACGAGUAAAAAAGACGACACGCAGUGCAGCAGCGUAAACUUGUUUCUCGACAUGUUUGCUGUUUUUCUUUUCCCAGUUUUUGGGUUUUGUCACUAAAAACAUCCGUUGACCCGUUGGUUGACCCGUAUCUGCAUGAAACGUUGCCGUUUAAAUAAGACUCGCCGAACUGUUCAUAAGUGGGCUUUGGGCUUUUAAAUUUUAAUGUUGGGUUACGCUACCCAUGAAUACUUUUUAUCUUGGUUUCGACCAAUUCAUAGCUUGCGGAAACGAUUUGGCUGCUUGAGAGAGAUGUUGCAUUUAGUGAAUACAUACAUGGAUAUCAAAUUCGUGAACAGUUUCUUGCCAAGAGAAAGAAAACUCUUCUAUUAUUUAUAUGAUUUUCCCUUUUACUUCCAAAUCCAGACCAGGAAUUUUGAUUUACGAUUGAGAGCCCAAUGAAGUAACAUGCCAUUGAAAAAAAAAAAAACAAACUUGAAUCAGAAAUUGCCCAAAAUUAACAGGAAGAAAGUUUUGCUCAAGUUGAGAUGUGACAUUUUAGCUUUGAAACUUAUGAGUAAUCUCUGAACUUUGGAAUACUGAUGACAGUACAAACUUUUUUGACACAAUACUAAUGGUUUCAGAGGGAAAAAUAAACGAAGCUAAAAGAAUUUACAACUCAUCUCAGAAUUCUCAAGAUAAAAAGGCGCAAAGAUCAACUGUUCCUUUUGGUUGGAGGAGAGGGUUUGUCUGAAGCCACCUCAGGUGUUAACUGUCCCAUUUUCUCCAUCUUCUUCUGCAGAUCAGCUAGAGGGUCUUUGGCAACCUUUGCCUUAGGACUCUUCUUUCCAUUAGUUAGUUUGAGUUCUAGUCGAUAUAAGGCACAUUCAUCAGAUUCAUUGAUCUGGUAUUCAAAGAGAUGCCACUCAUAGGGACCAGGAGGUUGUGGAUCCAUAUAGUAGGAUCUCUUCUGGCCUUGUUGUUCUUUCAUCAGUUGUUUUCUUGAUUCAUGCCAGCCUCGUCCGCUGUAAUCUGGAAGUGAUCUUUGCUUUCGGUUUCCGCUAUCAUAUGCUCUUCUGGGUUUGUCGAAGAAGAGCCAUUCUCUAAUCGUUUCACCCUCGACCAGUUCAAGAUGAAAUAGCUCUGCAAAGUAUAAACAAUUAGGAAAAGGGUGGUCAGGCUAAACUCAGAGACUCAGCAUUUGGUUUUUCAUUUCAAAGAGACAAUGAAAUGGUGAACUACAAAGGAUGAAGAGAUGCAAAACAAGACUCUAGAGGGCCAAUGUGUAUAUGCUCUCACCUGCUGCGUUCCAUGGGCAUUUUGUGUUAACAGCUCCUUCACACACUGGGAUGCCAACAUUCUUACCCAGAGUCUUUGCACGAAGAGCAUCAAUCAAUAGAUUAUCUUUCAAACUGAUGCCCCCCGGUCUUAAAACAGGUGCUGUGCCAGGCGAAUCUUCAUUAAGAGCCAGGUUCCCAUGGUAGUCACUGCAGUAGUCCAGGUACCAGUCAGAGCCGUGAGCAGGUCUUGCGCAAUCCCAUAGUGCACACUUUGGUCCCAAAAAGGCAGAAGGAGGCACACGGACACUUGAUGGAGGAGUAAAUUCAGCAAAACUUUCAAACUCGCCAGAACCAUCAAGCUUAACGGAAGAGCUGUUUUUGAAUUCCUGGCGCACUUCUGAAAGAUGGUAAUCCAGCUGAGAAGUUAUAUCCAAGUUGUUGAGUUUUUGGUCAUGGAAAUCAGGAGGGUUUAUGCUUGAAUCGAACUCUUGAAAUGCAAAAUGGAGUUGCUGGUCAUGUGUUUCGGUAUUAUUAACAGCAUCCUGAUAUAGAAAAGAUGAACUGUUAGAAAAUUGAUACAGAAUAAAACUAAAGCAAGAAUGUAGAGAUCAAAUAGAAAGUCGAAUCAUUGGUGUUAAAAUUUUUUAGAAGCAUGGAACCAACAAUCCAAAACCAAGAGACAAGUGCGGAGAAUCUCGACAUUCAUGGGAAAUAUGUUUAAGCAAAACAUUAUAGAAGAUAAUUUGGAAAAAUCCUUCUAUCAGAGACUGUCAUAGUCACUAUCAAUCUGACCAAGAAACUUGUAGUACCCCAAUGAAUGUUGCGACCAGGCUAAAAGAGUAGCUAGCUCACCUCAAAACCACUGGAGAAAUUUACGUUGAAAGGACUUUGAAUAAAAGGCUCAUCUGUCCAUUCCAAGUGUUCUGGAGGGCACAAGCUUUGAGCAAAACCCUCGGGCUUUGGCGCAGAGUGUUCCUUCAGCGAACUAGUUGCAUCGUCCUCCUCGUCGUUUAGCUUCAACAGACGGGCUAUCUCCUCAGAGAAAUGGCUAAUACUUCCACCCUGAAACAUAUUAUUAGAAAUAGAAAAGAGCUAAAUCACCACAAAAUCAAAGUAAACAAAAAACAAAAACGAAUAUUUCUCAUCCAACGAAGCUACUCCUGCAAGUUGGUCUCAAUUCAUAGAGAAACCAGCCAAGCUACGAGACACUAAGACAUCACCAGCGAGUGUUAAAAAGGUUUUGGUAAUGGUGUACGAACCAGAAGAGAAGAUUCUGGAGAAGGAGCACUGAGUUCUGCUUGCCACUCACGGAGAUUCUGAGAGAUUUGGGCUUCCAAAAUAGCAUGAUCACUAAACCGCCCUUCUUUCCUGGCAGCCUGAAGAUGACAAAACCUCUCCUGGAGUUCCAUUAGCUUCUCCACCAGAUUCUGAUGCGACGAAGAUACACAUGUGAUCUUCGGAUUGUUUGACAUCUCGUUUAAUUCUCUCUUCCUGAUCAAGCCGCUCAAAGGAUCAACCAAAACCUAACCAGAUGAGGAAAGAACAGAUUGCCUCAAAAUUUUCACAGCAAUUAUCCAUGAUUGUCAAGAUGGCGGUUGAAAAAAUUCACGAAAACAGCAACAAAAAAAAACGCAUAAAAUCUAAAUCAAUCCAACCUAAAUCAAAACAUCAGUUCAUUUGGUUCUACACCAAACCAUCAAUCUCAACCCUAAAUUCGAAAUCAAUUCUAGAAAACGAACAAAACCCUAACAUGAUUCUGACUUAUGAACCCUAAAAUUGAAAUCAAUUCAAAGAAACUCACGAUUUUCGGUUGGGAUCGAUAUAGCUUGGAUAAAGAAGAAGAAGAAGAGGGAAAAGGAGUUAUCGGGACAGAGAAGAAGAAGGGAAGUUAGAACACCGAAGAAGAGGAAGGAAGGAGACUCAUCACGGUCACACGAAGUUUUAGUUUUUCUCCUUUUAAUGAAACGCUGCGUUUUCCGGUAUCUUUUAAAAACAAACGGACCCUCUUUUUACUGUUUACUGUUUCUUUUACUGUUUACUAGAGCAUGUAUAUGUCAGAGAAUUUUAUUAAGAAUUGCUUAAAAUUACUAGAAUAUUUUUUUAUAAGCAAUCUUAAGGUUAACUCUAAAAACUCUUCUGCAAAGGUCAGUCCUUAUAUUUUAGACUUCUUUUUCAUUAUUUUAACCUAAAAUAUUUAUUAGCAACCCAAAUAAAAAAUGUGAAAGAUUCUCAAUGGAGAUGGUCUUAUGCGGGCUCUAUAAAUUACUAUUGCGCGUAUUUUUGUCAAAACCAAGUGGGCUACUCCUGCUAGCAAGUUCUUUUUAACUGCUAGUGUUAAUUUGUUAGUUCAAUGUCAAAUGUGUGAGUUAUUGAUAUAUAAGCUGCAAUAAACUCUUAAGGACAGGAAACGUCAUUGUCUAUGUCGUUAAUGCAUACACAAGCCUUGUUUGGUUUGUUUGUUUCCUUUAGUUGUAUUAAUACACUUUCUACUCAAUGUCAAAAUCAACUACUCUAGCUACUCAAUGUCAAAAUCAACUAAUAAUUUUCUUUCUUUAAGGCCUCUAUGACCGUAAUAUAUGAUUAUAAGAGCAUGCCCAUAUGGCCAUCUCUCAACACCAGAAGAGGAAAAUGCGUGUUGAUGCAUUUAACAUAUAGCUCGGUAAAUAUGUAUCUAUAAUUGUGUGUGUAUUAUAAGUCCAGAUAUAAUGAAGAGAGUUGUGGAGCCAAGAUGGAAUAUGAUGAAAAUGAAAUGGCAAGUCUCCUGCACGAUUUUGACACAAUAUUAAUGCAACACAGAGUUCCCAUACUACAAUAACAUUGGUCUCAAGUAACUUCCAAUUAUAGUAAUAAGGAGACACCUUGCAGGCAUGAGCAUCAUGAGUAAGUAGCCUCCAUUCAAUUCCUCUCUCUCUCUCUCUGUUUCUUAAUCAUGAAACUACUUCUUUCUCUUUCUUUUUCUCACUUUUUUAUAUUAUUUCCACUCAUCAAAUCUAAUCGAACAUAGCCUAGCUAUAUACUCAUUAUUCUCCAAUAUAUCAGACCAAACAUGUAACAGACUUAAACCCUAAUAAAUGAUCAUCCGUGCAACUAAAGACACCCUCAACUAAGGAUAAAACCAUCUUUUUUCCUCUCCCUUCGACUCCAUACAACACAGUAACUCCUCCAUAGCUAUUCUUCCUCAGAUACUCAGCAAACGUAAAGCUCAAAGGAUCCUCUAUCUAUCUACGGUUUUCAUCAUCCAUCCACUCUUAUUCUUUCCCACUUCUAAAUUGAUAUAUACGCCAGAUAUAUAUAACAUGUUUUAUUUAAUCUCAUGCAGGAAAGCAUCAUCAUUCAUCACUUACGUUGGAGAAUAUGAAGAGGACACAUUUGGCAAGUUUCAGCAGCAGAAAUAAAACCCAAGAAGAUGUAGAAGACACUAACGGUGACAACAGAAUUUCCAUGAAUCACUACAAGAACUACGAAGCUGGGCUGAUCCCAUGGCCUCCCAAGAACUACACUUGCAGCUUCUGUAGAAGAGACUUUAAAUCUGCUCAAGCACUUGGAGGCCACAUGAAUGUCCACAGAGAAGACAGAGCAAAACUCAGACAGAUCCCUUCUUGGAUCUUUGAACCUCACCACCAAAUACCUAUUUCUAACCCUAACCCUAAGUUAAACUCUUCUUCCUCUUCAACACCACCAGAUCAUCUUGAGCCUUCCCUAGCCAUCCAGAGAUACAAAACAACUCCUUUUUCUUCUACCCGGUUUGGUCUUUUGGAAAAUACUACUAGCUAUGGAGGUUUGAUGAUGGAAAGAGAGAAGAGCAAGAGCAAUGUAUGUGGCAGAGAGAUCAAGAAGAGUGGAAUGGUUGCCUGUCAUACUCCAAGAAGUGAGAUAAGUCGUGGAGAUAUGAUGAACAAGAGAGAUGAAGUCACUGGGUUGGAGCUUGGGAUGGGUUUGAUAAAUACAAAACAAGUUCUCGAUUUGGAGCUUCGACUUGGCUACCUUUAAACAACUUUGAUUAAUAAUGUUACUGCAAAAUUAUAUGAAAGAUCAGCCUAGCAGUGAGAAAGAGAUUGUGAUUGCAUUUAGGUUAACGAUAUUAAAUAGUAUUACAAUUUAAGUAGAUGGAAAUCAAAAAGAAAUUAAUUAAACAAACUUGGAAAAAGCCGAUCCAAUUUCUUUCCAGGGUUUGGUGCCUUUUUGAAGAAAGAAAAAACUUGAAAAUAUAUUUAAGUAUCUCUUUUUUUUUCUCCAUGAUUUAAGUUUUAUUAACCAACAAUGUUUGUAUUUCUAAUGAAAGAGUCAAUUUAACCUUAAAAUGGAUCUAUGUGGUGUUUGAGUAUGAUUUAUUUCUUCUUCCCUUUCCGUUCAAUAAAGAACUCUAGCUAUAGUGACGAACAAUACAAGCCUUUUUUUUUAUAAAACAAAACAAGAUUUUUUUUUCUUUACGCAAUUUGUGAAAUAUCAAAUUGUAUAGUAAAAAAAUAUUUGUUUAGAUGGUGUAUCAAUAUAUAUAAUAGUCCAUAGAUACAUAGUAGAAUUACGUGGAGUAGGAGUUCGAAAUGACUAAAGAAAAUGGGUUGCAUAUGGAUGUGAGUAUUAAGGAAGAAAUAAAGUGAUAAAGAGCAUUAUUAUAGAGAUGGGUUGAUGAGACACAGACGCAUGCGACAAAGUGGUACUAUGAAACAUAUAAAGAUGGAUGAUGAUCAAUUGACUCAUGAAUAGUUAAUGUUUUCAUCUUUUACACUCACCAUCACAUAUAAUGCGUAGCUUUAUACAUAAUAUAUAUGCAGUAAUUCUCAUGCAUACCAUGAAUGCAAUUCAUGCUGUGUGUGUGUGUUCAAUUGUCUGAUAUAUUUAAAAAAAAAAAAUCGCUGCGAAAAUUGUCUCUGUGCGGUUUAUGUAUAGCUAAGAAAUUAUUAGGAGUACAUGACAAGUUGCGAAUAUGAGUUUGAUGAAAUUAUGGUGCCUUUUUUUCUUUAAAAUGAGUUUGUAAAGCAAAACCUAGAUAUAUAAUAUCAAAAUAUGCUAUUAUCGAUUGGUCUUUGGAACGACUUAAGGCCAAUUAAAUUUAACCACUCAUAUCGACCAGUACAAAGUUACUAUUAUGUAAACAUUUUAUAAAAAAAUUCCAUCAGAUAUAUACACAUGUGUGAGUUGUGGAUAUCUAGUUCAAGAAAAUUUCAUUUUAAUUUGGGAAUUUGGAAGUAAAUAUAUAUGUUCCUGAAUACAGGUUGCAUUUAUACAUAAAAUCAUUAAAUUUGAACUGUAUUCCAUGUCAUGGCUUGUGAUUAAUACAUCAGUGCUUUCCUGGCUAUGAAGCACAACUCCAUAUCAACUUUAUAUGUGUAUUUAUAUUUUUAUAUAUAUAUAUAUAUAUAUGCAUAAAGUGUGCAUGUACAUACAGUACUAUACUAAAAACGAAUGUACAGAGUACAUGCAGAUCAAGAGCCAAGAGUGUAGGAGACAAGAUUAGAAAAUUAGAAUACAAGUGAUGUGAAAAGGAAACAACAAAAUGGAAUGUUUUGGUCAAUACAUUUGAGAUGUUUGUGGUUUCCCAUGAACAAAUUUAAUCUGACAUUUUUCAUCUUCCCCAACAAUUUAAUUUUCUAUACAAUACAUCAUCACCUUUCCCUUUUUAGAUUCUAUCACUUUCCUCUCCAAUCUCUACCCUCCCGAUCAAUUCUUCCUUUUUUUAUGAAUAACAAUUACAAUGACUUUAUUUGUGUUUGAGUGAUGUGAAAGGUAAGAGUUUUUCAUCAUGCACCCUAAUGUUUUUCUUUUCUCUUACAAAUUUGCCCCCGAAUUUUCUUAUGUAAUUAUUACAAUAAUCAGGUAAUCACAUUCCAUUGUCAAUGCUACUCACACCCAUACUGUAACGUCUUUUAGAUUGAGUUGUUACUUCUAGUUAU
rnacentral:lncRNA from 1 species